rnacentral:rRNA from 1 species
AGCGAACGUUAGCGGCAGGCUUAACACAUGCAAGUCGAGCGAGAAAGGGGCUUCGGCCCUGAGUAAAGCGGCGGACGGGUGCGUAACACGUGGAUAAUCUGCCCUUCAGUGGGGAAUAACGUUCCGAAAGGAACGCUAAUGCCGCAUGUCACAGCAAUGUCUCUGGACAAAGUUGGAAAAGGGGACGCCCGCAAGGGGUUCUCGCUGGAGGAUGAGUCCGCGGCCCAUCAGCUUGUUGGCGGGGUAAUGGCCCACCAAGGCGAAGACGGGUAGCUGGUCUGAGAGGAUGACCAGCCACACUGGGACUGAGACACGGCCCAUACUCCUACGGGAGGCAGCAGUGGGGAAUUUUACACAAUGGGGGAAACCCUGAUGUAGCGACACCGCGUGAACGAAGAAGCCUUUUGGGGUGUAAAGUUCUGUCGGCUGGAACGAAAAAAUAGACGGUACCAGCAAAGGAAGCAUCGGCUAACUACGUGCCAGCAGCCG